UACGGAGGGUGCAAGCGUUAUCCGGAUUCACUGGGUUUAAAGGGAGCGUAGGUGGGUUGGUAAGUCAGUGGUGAAAUCCCCGAGCUUAACUUGGGAACUGCCAUUGAUACUAUUAGUCUUGAAUACUGUGGAGGUCAGCGGAAUAUGUCAUGUAGCGGUGAAAUGCUUAGAUAUGACAUAGAACACCAAUUGCGAAGGCAGCUCGCUAAGCUAUAACUGACGCUCAUGCACGAAAGCGUGGGGAUCAAACAGG
rnacentral:rRNA from 1 species